rnacentral:rRNA from 1 species
GUGCCAGCAGCCGCGGUAAUACGGAGGGUGCAAGCGUUACUCGGAAUCACUGGGCGUAAAGCGCGCGCAGGCGGCUUAAUAAGUUGGAUGUGAAAUCCUAUGGCUCAACCAUAGAACUGCAUCCAAAACUGUUAAGCUAGAGUCUGGGAGAGGAAGAUGGAAUUAGUUGUGUAGGGGUAAAAUCCGUAGAGAUAACUAGGAAUACCGAAAGCGAAGGCGAUCUCCUGGAACAUAACUGACGCUAAGGCGUGAAAGCGUGGAGAGCAAACGGGAUUAGAUACCCCGGUAGUCCACGCCCUAAACGAUGAACACUAGUCGUCGGGAUGCUUGUCAUCUCGGUGAUGCACUUAACAGAUUAAGUGUUCCGCCUGGGGAGUACGGUCGCAAGAUUAAAACUCAAAUGAAUUGGCGG